GUCUCCCUUCUUUGAAUGCAUGGAGAGACCAAUGGGCAAUGGCUUGCUCACAAGAAGGCUGUUGCAGAGAGAGAGCGCCAACUUUCUUUGAAAAAAGAGAGGUCUAGAGAGAAGAAAGAUGGGCUGAAAGAUAAGGAAAAGGAUUCCUCAAAAGAUGUCAAAAGACUAGACAAAUCAGGAAAAAAAGAAAGAGUCCACAUCCUCUGGACAAGCAGAAGA